rnacentral:sRNA from 1 species
GUAUCCGGUAAGUGAGGCUACGACAGGGAUAUGGAUUGCUGCCGCAAAGUAGUGGAGACACUAUGAGAUGGUUUGAGCAGGUGAUAUCGAAACCAAGGUAUCGCAUAAUGCAAUUUCACCGCCCUGCAAAGCUAAAGCUCAAACGGUAGGAU